GCUGGCGGCAUGCCUUACACAUGCAAGUCGAACGGUAGAGUAGCAAUACUUGAGAGUGGCGAACGGGUGAGUAAUAUAUCGGAACGUGCCCAACUGUGGGGGAUAACGUAGAGAAAUUUACGCUAAUACCGCAUACGAUCUAAGGAUGAAAGCGGGGGAUCGCAAGACCUCGCGCAGUUGGAGCGGCUGAUAUCAGAUUAGCUUGUUGGUGAGGUAAAAGCUCACCAAGGCGACGAUCUGUAGCUGGUUUGAGAGAACGACCAGCCACACUGGGACUGAGACACGGCCCAGACUCCUAUGGGAGGCAGCAGUGGGGAAUUUUGGACAAUGGGCGAAAGCCUGAUCCAGCAAUGCCGCGUGCAGGAAGAAGGCCUUCGGGUUGUAAACUGCUUUUGUACGGAACGAAACGGUCCGCUUUAAUACAGUGGGCUAAUGACGGUACCGUAAGAAUAAGCACCGGCUAACUACGUGCCAGCAGCCGCGGUAAUACGUAGGGUGCGAGCGUUAAUCGGAAUUACUGGGCGUAAAGCGUGCGCAGGCGGUUAUAUAAGACAGUUGUGAAAUCCCCGGGCUCAACCUGGGAAUUGCAUCUGUGACUGUAUAGCCAGAGUACGGUAGAGGGGGAUGGAUUCCGCGUGUAGCAGUGAAUGCGUAGAUAUGCGGAGGACACCGAUGGCGAAGGCAAUCCCCUGGACCUGUACUGACGCUCAUGCACGAA
rnacentral:rRNA from 1 species